CCUACGGGAGGCAGCAGUGGGGAAUAUUGGACAAUGGGCGAAAGCCUGAUCCAGCCAUGCCGCGUGUGUGAAGAAGGUCUUCGGAUUGUAAAGCACUUUAAGUUGGGAGGAAGGGCAUUAACCUAAUACGUUAGUGUUUUGACGUUACCGACAGAAUAAGCACCGGCUAACUCUGUGCCAGCAGCCGCGGUAAUACAGAGGGUGCAAGCGUUAAUCGGAAUUACUGGGCGUAAAGCGCGCGUAGGUGGUUUGUUAAGUUGGAUGUGAAAUCCCCGGGCUCAACCUGGGAACUGCAUUCAAAACUGACUGACUAGAGUAUGGUAGAGGGUGGUGGAAUUUCCUGUGUAGCGGUGAAAUGCGUAGAUAUAGGAAGGAACACCAGUGGCGAAGGCGACCACCUGGACUAAUACUGACACUGAGGUGCGAAAGCGUGGGGAGCAAACAGGUAUUAGACUACCCUGGUAGUCCACGCCGUAAACGNUNUCACUACGCGUGGAGCGUGAGCUCUGUGCGCGNGCGUACGACAUUAGUUAGACCGCCGNGGGAGGACGGCCGCGAACGUAAACGUACGAAGAAGUAGAGCGNGAGAGNGACGACGACGACGACGAGGGAGGAGG
rnacentral:rRNA from 1 species